rnacentral:rRNA from 1 species
CUUAUAGAAAGAGCGACGGGCGAUUUGUGCAUGCUAAAUUUCUUUUUUCAACUUUAAUUUAAUUUUUAAUUUUUAAUACUAAGUCCUUUUUCUAUUAUCAUCCUUUUUAUUUGCACUUAAUUUAUAAAUUUGUAUCCCAUGGCCCCUUAGGCAUAAGCUCUGUCUUGAUUUGUCUUUAGAUUAUCCUUAAUUUUAAAAAAAAAUUCUCAAAAAUUUUUUUUGAGACAAUGAUAUAGAGGCUUAAAGUCUAAGUUUCCUCGAUCGUGGUUUAUCUAUUCUGAAACAGGAUCCCCUAUUAAGGUUGAGCACCGCCAUCUUUUACUAAGUUUCAUUUAUUUAACUACUAUUUUUUCUUUUUUUAGAA